UGGUAGUCGAGGGCUGGUCGCCCAAGUCGUUCUGAUAAAGCGGCGGCGCUGAGUUCGAUUCUCAGGUCUACCAU
rnacentral:tRNA from 1 species